AUCGAUGAAGAACGCAGCUAGCUGCGAUAAAUAGUGCGAAUUGCAGACGCAUUGAGCACAAAGAUUUCGAACGCACAUUGCACCAUCGGGUUGAUUCCCGAUGGUACGUCUGGCUGAGGGUCGAU
rnacentral:rRNA from 1 species